CGCUAAUACCGAAUGUGGUAUGUUUGGGCAUCUAAAUUAUAUUAAAGAAGGGGAUCUUCGGACCUUUCGGUUGUGAGAAAGUCUAUGGGAUAUCAGCUUGUUGGUGGGGUAAUGGCCUACCAAGGCUACGACGUCUAGGCGGAUUGAGAGAUUGACCGCCAACACUGGGACUGAGACACUGCCCAGACUCCUACGGGAGGCUGCAGUCGAGAAUCUUUCGCAAUGGACGAAAGUCUGACGAAGCGACGCCGCGUGUGUGAUGAAGGCUCUAGGGUUGUAAAGCACUUUCGCCUGGGAAUAAGAGAAGUUGGCUAAUAUCCAACUAAUUUGAACGUACCAGGUAAAGAAGCACCGGCUAACUCCGUGCCAGCAGCUGCGGUAAUACGGAGGGUGCUAGCGUUAAUCGGAUUUAUUGGGCGUAAAGGGCGUGUAGGCGGAAAGGAAAGUUAGAUGUCAAAUCUUGGGGCUCAACCCCAAGCCGGCAUCUAAUACUAUCUUUCUAGAGGUUAGAUGGAGAAAAGGGAAUUCCACGUGUAGCGGUGAAAUGCGUAGAUAUGUGGAAGAACACCAGUGGCGAAGGCGCUUUUCUAAUUUAUUCCUGACGCUAAGGCGCGAAAGCAAGGGGAGCAAACAGGAUUAGAUACCCUGGUAGUCCUUGCCGUAAACGAUGCAUACUUGAUGUGGAUGGUCUCAACCCCAUCCGUGUCGUAGCUAACGCGUUAAGUAUGCCGCCUGAGGAGUACACUCGCAAGGGUGAAACUCAAAAGAAUUGACGGGGGCCCGCACAAGCAGUGGAGCAUGUGGUUUAAUUCGAUGCAACGCGAAGGACCUUACCUGGGCUUGACAUGUAUUUGAUCGCGGCAGAAAUGUCGUUUUCCGCAAGGACAAAUACACAGGUGCUGCAUGGCUGUCGUCAGCUCGUGCCGUGAGGUGUUGGGUUAAGUCCCGCAACGAGCGCAACCCUUAUCGUUAGUUGCCAGCACUUUGGGUGGGAACUCUAACGAGACUGCCUGGGUUAACCAGGAGGAAGGCGAGGAUGACGUCAAGUCAGCAUGGCCCUUAUGUCCAGGGCGACACACGUGCUACAAUGGAUAGUACAGAAGGUAGCAAGAUCGUGAGAUGGAGCAAAUCCUUAAAGCUGUCCUCAGUUCGGAUUGUAGUCUGCAACUCG
rnacentral:rRNA from 1 species